AACCUUUCUAUUCUCACCUCCCAUUUCCCUACUUGACCUCUCUUCAUUAACCUAGCGAUUUACCAUGGCAUUGGGUGGUGGAUUUAUCACAGAACCUGCUAUGAAGUGGUCUCUGGGGGCAACAGAACUAAAGGGAACAGAUUUGUACUCAUCAUCUCUCCCACUGAUGCUGUCAUACAGAUCUUUUCACUGUUUGCCGUCAAAACUGUUCUGCACACGUAGAGAAUUUUGCUGGAUGGAAGUUCAGGACUAGUUCUUAAAUCUGAUCAUCUGAUCGUUGUGGUUCAUCUUCAUCUCCCGUGGCAUCCCCUCUCAAGUGCCUCUGUGCCGAAGUGACUUGUCAUCUCCACUGGAGAUUGCCUGCUGCCACCUGGUGGGUAGCAUCACCCAACGUUUCCCCAGUUCCCCUCCUCGGAAACACGUUAGCAAAAAGCUGUAUAGAGACCUCUGAACUAUUUGGCUUAGAAAUACCGCACAUGUUGAAAGUGGUGAUAGCUGGAAGUUUGUUUUAUUUUCUGGUAGUAUCUAGAUACUACAGAAAGCUGCCUUAAAAAGAAAAGACAAAAAUUUCACAUCAGAGAAACUGAGAUGUUGAAAUUAGGACUUAAAAGUGGGUAAAGCUUGUUAGAGACUGACUGCAGUGUUCUUUCAUCCAGGGCUAUUAAUACAAGCCCUUUGUUGCCCUUAUUUUGCUAAACAUUAACUCAAAGAGAGAUAUGAGGGGAAUUUUGAAUAAAUGAUUUCUUUUUGAAUGAUCCCAAGUCAGAAUAUCUAUCCUUGCACAUGACUUAAACUCUGGGAGACUUCAUGUGGAGUAAAACUGUACUAUUGAUGCUGCAGCAGACUGGUCUUUCUUGAUUUGUCUGAUUUAGGAAAUUAUGACUAAUUGAAGUAAGUGUAACUAUGGAUGACAGUUGUCUUGGUCAGAUAGAAUACUUGGACCAUAUUACGGACUUAUCUUGUGCAAAUUAAACCAUGUGAAUUAAUUGAACCUAUAUUCUUGGCAAAGCCACAGAGAAAGAAAGUGAACCAGGUACACAUAUGCACUAGCCCUGCUCUGAAAAAAAAUUGAUGUUUAAGAUAAGACAAUACUGCUAGAAGUUUUCCUAAUAACUUCAGAAAGUUCCACACUUUGGUCCCAUUUAGUGAAGAAGAGUAAAUUAUUCUCUUAUCCUCUGAAGCCCUAGCUAAAACUAAUUGCCAUUAUCAUGUCAGUUUGGGAAGCUUUAUUAUUUUCGCAAAAUCUAAGGAAAAUAAACAUUACUUUCAGCUUUCAUUAAAUUACAUUAAUACAGGUCCACUUUUCUUUUAAAAAGAAUUACAAUGGAAACUCAAAUUGUUUUUCCAAAUGCAAACUACUUACUUUGUCAGAGCGCUUCUUUGCUGACGUUCUUUUUCAAUUUGCAGAUACCGAGUUUGUUGUUCAAUAGUCUUUUCCCAGAAGUUUCUCAGGUCACUGGUUUCACAUCCCCUCACUUCGUGACGUAUGUAUUGACUGUUCAUUUUCUGUGAAAGAGAAAUGUGAAACACUUUUGUUACAAGUUCUUGGUCCCAUGUAUGUUUACAUGGUUGAAGCACAGUACUGAUGUUUUGCACUCUCACAGAGUUACAAUCACAUUGUUUUUUAUGUAGGACAAAGAUAAGAGUGGACAAUUUAAACUUCCCAUUCCUAGCUCUGACACUUGUGGAUAUGCUGUUUACAGUGAUUUGAAUUCUUUUAUGUUAACCUCAGGUAUUUCUCAUCUCUGUCUGUGAUCUUUAAAUUUAAAAUGUGGAACAGUUCUAUUAUUUUCUCUAGCUUAAAGAUUAAGAUAUAUUUUAUAGUACUCAAAAA